GACGAACGCUGGCGGCGUGCUUAACACAUGCAAGUCGAACGGAAAGGCCCUGCUUUUGUGGGGCGCUCGAGUGGCGAACGGGUGAGUAACACGUGAGUAACCUGCCCUUGACUUUGGGAUAACUUCAGGAAACUGGGGCUAAUACCGGAUAGGAGCUCCUGCUGCAUGGUGGGGGUUGGAAAGUUUCGGCGGUUGGGGAUGGACUCGCGGCUUAUCAGCUUGUUGGUGGGGUAGUGGCUUACCAAGGCUUUGACGGGUAGCCGGCCUGAGAGGGUGACCGGCCACAUUGGGACUGAGAUACGGCCCAGACUCCUACGGGAGGCAGCAGUGGGGAAUAUUGCACAAUGGGCGGAAGCCUGAUGCAGCAACGCCGCGUGCGGGAUGACGGCCUUCGGGUUGUAAACCGCUUUCGCCUGUGACGAAGCGUGAGUGACGGUAAUGGGUAAAGAGGCACCGGCUAACUACGUG
rnacentral:rRNA from 1 species